GCCCCUAUAGCCCAAUUGGCAGAGGCGGGAGACUUAAAAUCUCUGUGUUGUGGGUUCGAGUCCCACUGGGGGUACC
rnacentral:tRNA from 1 species